rnacentral:rRNA from 1 species
GAUGAACGCUGGCGGCGUGCCUAAUACAUGCAAGUCGAGCGAACAGACGAGGAGCUUGCUCCUCUGACGUUAGCGGCGGACGGGUGAGUAACACGUGGAUAACCUACCUAUAAGACUGGGAUAACUUCGGGAAACCGGAGCUAAUACCGGAUAAUAUAUUGAACCGCAUGGUUCAAUAGUGAAAGACGGUUUUGCUGUCACUUAUAGAUGGAUCCGCGCCGCAUUAGCUAGUUGGUAAGGUAACGGCUUACCAAGGCAACGAUGCGUAGCCGACCUGAGAGGGUGAUCGGCCACACUGGAACUGAGACACGGUCCAGACUCCUACGGGAGGCAGCAGGAGGGAAUCUUCCGCAGUGGGCGAAAGCCUGACGGAGCAACGCCGCGUGAGUGAUGAAGGGCUUCGGAUCGUAAAACUCUGUUAUUAGGGAAGAACAAAUGUGUAAGUAACUAUGCACGUCUUGACGGUACCUAAUCAGAAAGCCACGGCUAACUACGU